rnacentral:rRNA from 1 species
AAAUCGAGGCUAAUACCGCAUGUCAUCACCGGCCCCUGGGCUGGAGAUGAAAGUCUCGCAAGGGACGCCGGAGGAGGGGCUCGCGCCCUAUCAGGUAGUUGGCGGGGUAACGGCCCACCAAGCCUAAGACGGGUAGCUGGUCUGAGAGGACGACCAGCCAGAGGGGGACUGAGACACGGCCCCCACUCCUACGGGAGGCAGCAGCAAGGAAUCUUGGGCAAUGGGCGAAAGCCUGACCCAGCGACGCCGCGUGGAGGAAGAAGGCCUUCGGGUCGUAAACUCCUUUUCCAGGGGAAGAGCAAGGACGGUACCCUGGGAAUAAGCCUCGGCGAACUACGUGCCAGCAGCCGCGGUAAUACGUAGGAGGCAAGCGUUGUCCGGAUUUACUGGGCGUAAAGGGCGUGUAGGCGGCUGAGCAAGUCUUCUGUGAAAUCCUCCGGCUAAACCGGAGGGAGUCAGAGGAUACUGCCCGGCUUGAGGACGGCAGAGGAGGGUGGAAUUCCCGGUGUAGCAGUGAAAUGCGUAGAUAUCGGGAGGAACACCAGUGGCGAAGGCGGCCCUCUGGGCCGCUCCUGACGCUGAGGCGCGAAAGCGUGGGUAGCAAACCGGAUUAGAUACCCGGGUAGUCCACGCCCUAAACUUUGGAGGCUGGGUAUGGGGGGUAUCGACCCCCUCCGUGCCGAAGCUAACGCGUUAAGCCUCCCGCCUGGGGACUACGGCCGCAAGGUUAAGACUCAAAGGAAUUGACGGGGGCCCGCACAAGCGGUGGAGCGCGUGGUUUAAUUCGAUGCAAAGCGAAGAACCUUACCAGGGUUUGACAUGCCAGUAGUAGAGACCCGAAAGGGCGACGAGCUUGGGGUAACUCAAGUUGCUGGCACAGGUGCUGCAUGGCUUGUCGUCAGCUCCUGCCCGUGAGGUGUUGGGGUUAAGUCCCCGCAACGAGCGCCAACCCUUUGUCCCUAAGUUGCCAGCGAAUUCCGGUCGGGGAACUCUU